UACAGAGGGUGCGAGCGUUGUUCGGAAUUACUGGGCGUAAAGCGUGCGCAGGCGGUUUUGCAAGCCGGAUGUGAAAUCCUCGGGCUCAACCUGGGAACGGCAUUCGGGACUGCAAGGCUGGAGUGCGGCAGAGGAGACUGGAAUUCCUGGUGUAGCAGUGAAAUGCGUAGAUAUCAGGAGGAAUACCGAUGGCGAAGGCAGGUCUCUGGGCUGACACUGACGCUCAUGCACGAAAGCGUGGGGAGCAAACAGG
rnacentral:rRNA from 1 species